UUGAAGAGUUUGAUCAUGGCUCAGAUUGAACGCUGGCGGCAGGCCUAACACAUGCAAGUCGAGCGGUAGCACAGAGAGCUUGCUCUCGGGUGACGAGCGGCGGACGGGUGAGUAAUGUCUGGGAAACUGCCUGAUGGAGGGGGAUAACUACUGGAAACGGUAGCUAAUACCGCAUAAUGUCGCAAGACCAAAGUGGGGGACCUUCGGGCCUCAUGCCAUCAGAUGUGCCCAGAUGGGAUUAGCUAGUAGGUGGGGUAACGGCUCACCUAGGCGACGAUCCCUAGCUGGUCUGAGAGGAUGACCAGCCACACUGGAACUGAGACACGGUCCAGACUCCUACGGGAGGCAGCAGUGGGGAAUAUUGCACAAUGGGCGCAAGCCUGAUGCAGCCAUGCCGCGUGUGUGAAGAAGGCCUUCGGGUUGUAAAGCACUUUCAGCGGGGAGGAAGGCGAUAAGGUUAAUAACCUUGUCGAUUGACGUUACCCGCAGAAGAAGCACCGGCUAACUCCGUGCCAGCAGCCGCGGUAAUACGGAGGGUGCAAGCGUUAAUCGGAAUUACUGGGCGUAAAGCGCACGCAGGCGGUCUGUCAAGUCGGAUGUGAAAUCCCCGGGCUUAACCUGGGAACUGCAUUCGAAACUGGCAGGCUAGAGUCUUGUAGAGGGGGGUAGAAUUCCAGGUGUAGCGGUGAAAUGCGUAGAGAUCUGGAGGAAUACCGGUGGCGAAGGCGGCCCCCUGGACAAAGACUGACGCUCAGGUGCGAAAGCGUGGGGAGCAAACAGGAUUAGAUACCCUGGUAGUCCACGCCGUAAACGAUGUCGAUUUGGAGGUUGUGCCCUUGAGGCGUGGCUUCCGGAGCUAACGCGUUAAAUCGACCGCCUGGGGAGUACGGCCGCAAGGUUAAAACUCAAAUGAAUUGACGGGGGCCCGCACAAGCGGUGGAGCAUGUGGUUUAAUUCGAUGCAACGCGAAGAACCUUACCUGGUCUUGACAUCCACAGAACUUUCCAGAGAUGGAUUGGUGCCUUCGGGAACUGUGAGACAGGUGCUGCAUGGCUGUCGUCAGCUCGUGUUGUGAAAUGUUGGGUUAAGUCCCGCAACGAGCGCAACCCUUAUCCUUUGUUGCCAGCGGUUAGGCCGGGAACUCAAAGGAGACUGCCAGUGAUAAACUGGAGGAAGGUGGGGAUGACGUCAAGUCAUCAUGGCCCUUACGACCAGGGCUACACACGUGCUACAAUGGCAUAUACAAAGAGAAGCGACCUCGCGAGAGCAAGCGGACCUCAUAAAGUAUGUCGUAGUCCGGAUUGGAGUCUGCAACUCGACUCCAUGAAGUCGGAAUCGCUAGUAAUCGUAGAUCAGAAUGCUACGGUGAAUACGUUCCCGGGCCUUGUACACACCGCCCGUCACACCAUGGGAGUGGGUUGCAAAAGAAGUAGGUAGCUUAACCUUCGGGAGGGCGCUUACCACUUUGUGAUUCAUGACUGGGGUGAAGUCGUAACAAGGUAACCGUAGGGGAACCUGCGGUUGGAUCACCUCCUU
rnacentral:rRNA from 1 species